UUGUCAUGCCAAUGGCACUGCCCGGUAGCUAAAUGCGGAAGAGAUAAGUGCUGAAAGCAUCUAAGCACGAAACUUGCCCCGAGAUGAGUUCUCCCUGAGACUUAGAGUCUCCUGAAGGAACGUUGAAGACGACGACGUUGAUAGGCCGGGUGUGUAAGCGCAGCGAUGCGUUGAGCUAACCGGUACUAAUGAACCGUGAGGCUUAACCUUACAACGCCGAAG
rnacentral:rRNA from 3 species